rnacentral:rRNA from 1 species
GGUGAGUAACACGUGAGCAACCUGCCCCAAGCUUUGGGAUAACCCUCGGAAACGGGGGCUAAUACCGAAUAUUACUGCUGGUCGCAUGGCUGGUGGUGGAAAGUUUUUCGGCUUGGGAUGGGCUCGCGGCCUAUCAGCUUGUUGGUGGGGUGAUGGCCUACCAAGGCGACGACGGGUAGCCGGCCUGAGAGGGCGACCGGCCACACUGGGACUGAGACACGGCCCAGACUCCUACGGGAGGCAGCAGUGGGGAAUAUUGCACAAUGGGCGGAAGCCUGAUGCAGCGACGCCGCGUGAGGGAUGACGGCCUUCGGGUUGUAAACCUCUUUCAGCAGGGACGAAGCGUAAGUGACGGUACCUGCAGAAGAAGCACCGGCCAACUACGUGCCAGCAGCCGCGGUAAGACGUAGGGUGCGAGCGUUGUCCGGAUUUAUUGGGCGUAAAGAGCUCGUAGGCGGCUUGUCGCGUCGACCGUGAAAACUUGGGGCUCAACUCCAAGCCUGCG